UACGUAGGGACCAAGCGUUGUUCGGAUUUACUGGGCGUAAAGGGCGCGUAGGCGGCAAUUCAAGUCAGCUGUGAAAUCUCCGAGCUUAACUCGGAACGGUCAGCUGAUACUGUUUUGCUAGAGUGCAGAAAGGGCAACCGGAAUUCUUGGUGUAGCGGUGAAAUGCGUAGAUAUCAAGAGGAACACCUGAGGCGAAGGCGGGUUGCUAGGCUGACACUGACGCUGAGGCGCGAAAGCUAGGGUAGCAAACAGG
rnacentral:rRNA from 1 species